UACAGAGGGGGCAAGCGUUGUUCGGAAUUACUGGGCGUAAAGGGCGCGUAGGCGGCCUGCUAAGUCGAACGUGAAAUCCCCGGGCUCAACCCGGGAACUGCGUCCGAUACUGGCAGGCUUGAAUCCGGGAGAGGGAUGUGGAAUUCCAGGUGUAGCGGUGAAAUGCGUAGAUAUCUGGAGGAACACCGGUGGCGAAGGCGCAUCCUGGGCCGGCAUUGACGCUGAGGCGCGAAAAGCCAGGGGGAGCAAACGGG
rnacentral:rRNA from 1 species